AAUAUAUUAUACAUAGUGUAUAUAGUAGCCUAUGUACAAGGUGUGUGCAGCGUAUGCAUGGCCCCUCAUAUGAGUUUUCAUUUUUGAGCUGAAAACAGAUUUAAGAUUUAGGUGUGGGUUAGGGUUAGUCAAGCUGUAGUUAUGGUUAAGGUUAGGAAAAUAAUUUUGAGUCAAUGCAUUGUCCUCUAAAGUCACGGACACACGACUGCCGGAGGCACCUCAGCAGGAAUCUCUGCAGUCAAAUGAUUUCACAUUACCUUUUCUCCUUGGCUAUCUAAUGCUGCUCUUACAAAGAGCAGCAUUAGAGGAUGGUCAUACAUGCUGCGGACACGCACAUUACACACACAUACCCAGCCGGCCCACUCAUAUACCUAUAUAACCAACAGCAUUAAAAAAAACGUCAACCGGUUUGAAUGCUGUGGCCAAUAAAGGUGUGGGCUAUUGUGAAAGAGUUUGAGUUGAACCAGCAGUAGUGUGAUGAAAAACUUAAUUUGUAUUUUCUAUAUGAACAAGCUAAUCAAGUUUAGCUAUCCUCAAAAAAAAACUGAAAGCACAAAUUGUCAAACUUUGAUCAUCUGUCAGAAGUAAGUAAGUGAGCCUCUAAAGCCUUUUAUUUCUUUGUAACACCUUAAGCUGUUUAUUUGUCAUUAGAACGUCUGUAUUUCAACACAACACACACACACGUGCACACACGGACACACAUGGCAUCAAAGAUCCCCUCUUCCUUGCUCUGUGUCUCAUGAUCAAGCCUGAAAGUCAAGUGGUGGAACGUAUAAAACCAGUAGAGCAAGAAGAUCAGAAUUACCAGAGCAGCGAAGCUUGGGGCGCAAAGCCCCGAUGUGUUCCCCCCCCCACUUCCUCCCACUCAGUCUUCCUCUCUCAUCUGAUGCCACAUGAAGCCUGGCCCAGAGCCUUGCCUGAAACAUCGCUGCAGUGGCCCAUUAGGAGCAAUCCUCCAGACUAGAUUGGUGGGAGACACCUCGUGAAAAAGGCAAGGAUGAAACAACAGCGAGCAAUAACAAAAACAGGGGAGAGGAGGAUGGUGAUGGGCAUAUCUUUUAUCGUGCAACUUCCCCUUUCUGCUGAUCCAGGAGGUUCCACCAGGGCACAAAUUGGUUGCUCAGACUGAAUCUGGCUCCUGGAAGAAGAAGGAAAAAAGUGUCAGUGUGACUGUACAGUGCUGUGCUGAAAAGAUAAAAAUGGGAAGAUCGGGAGACAAAACUUGGCCUUGGCUCCAGUAAAGAAAGCAAGAGGAGGGAUCAGGGCGAUGAAACAGGAGAGAGCAGACGAAGUGACAACAGAGCUAACAACCCACCCAAUCCCUCACCAUCCGCAGCAACGACGCUCCCACCUCUGCAUUGUGAAUCAUUAGCAACAUAUAAUGAUCUGGAGUGUGUGGAGGCCUGGACAGUCCUGCAUAACCCGAUAUCACUACCAACAUACACACGCGCCCUCAGUGAGGGCUGCAGUCGGUGAAAUGCAGGCAGGUCUGGGUCACCCCCUCGCCUGUCUCUGCGGGGAAAAAAAAAGGGGGCAGAUGUGAUUGGCUGUGACAAAUCCUUGACAAGUAAUUGCUCUAAUCACUCGACGGCUCACCCCCAACCCCCUCCACCCUCCUCUAUUCCUCGUCUUCCCCACUCCCCCUGUUCGCCUGCUCAUCAGCGCGGUAACAACACCGGGUUGUGGGCAGACCGAGCAGCUCAGCGACGGAUCCUCUGAGAUGCUCUGCCGUUGUCGCCGCUUCAAGGUUGACACAUAUAUACGUAAACGUCUACGGUUAACGUGACCUCCUGGGGUAUGACGCCCGAAAGUGCUCCGCACUUUUUUUUCCACCCUCCGCCUUCCCCUGUCACUCUCUUUGCUUCUCCGUCCAUCUUCUUUUUUUUCUCAUUACGUCUCCCCUGUUCUUCUCACUCAGUCUAUGUGUCAAUUAUUGCUUUUUGCUCCCUGGUGAGAACUGUAUCUCUUUCACUAUGGCCAGAAUAAGCAACUGUAGAUUUCAUAUAGCACAUUAUGCAACGUUCAGCACUAUAUUGAACUAUAACACACUUUCGUUGUUGGAGCAAGAAAAUGGUUCUCUGAUUCUCUUUUCCAACCCCUUAAUAGACAAGAAUGGUGACAAAAAAGGGUGAGACAGAGAGAAAGAGAGAUAUACUCAGUUGUAGCUCUUCCAGGUUUCUCAGAGAGACUAGAGCUAGAGAGGGAGUGGGGUGAUGGGAAAGGGGGAUGUCUAGAUAUCCAGCCAUCCCCCAAUCCCAAGACAGCCACCCUCACGCCUCCUCAGACCCACCUUCCCCAGAAUAAGAGCUCAUCAAUUAGGGGCAGUGGGUCUGCGACCGUCCCUCAGCCUCGUCACGGCUCCACUAAGCUGCUGCUCAACCAGUGCACAGGAGAUGGAAGAGAGAAAGGAGGAGGAGGAGAGGAGCCAUAGGUAGGCCUCUUGCUGUCAGCUCCACUUAUAGGUAACGCUGCAUUCAUGGCCCUUAAUUAUAUGUGGGUUGUCAGCACUGGUAGAAAAACCCAGCCAGUGAGAGAGAGGGAGAGAGUCUAGGUCGUGGGAGAGUAUAGUUAGUGAGAUUGCCGAGCACGGACAAGACAGAGAUGACAGGCAGGCUACCCGUUCCGCUACUGCGACGACUCUUCCAUCCCAUCCCACCCUCCCUUCUCCGGUGCUAUUGUCCCCGGCCUGACUGGGACAGUUGACUGGGAAGGUGAGGUGGAGGCUCCCCGCUCCGUCUCACUGGCUAACGAUGGGGCCGUCCGUCAGUUACCUCUUGCCUCCAAAACAAAAGAGCUCAAAAAAAGAAAUCGAUAUAAUGCAUCCCCGUUUCAUUUCGCUCUCUCAGAUGAUUUGUGUGCACUUAGUCACGGCCACUGCACACAUCAUCUGGUUGUCUUCAGACGGAUCGCGUUUGGUAAUGUGUUGGGGUUUUCCGGUCUGUUUGUACUUUAUUGCUACUAAAACGCGUCAAGGUUAUUGUUUGUUACUCUCUGCCUCAUUACGUACAGUCUCCAAGCACUUUAUUAGGAAAACCAUAUUAAUGCUGGAUAGGGCCCUUCCUUUGCUCUCCGAACAGUCACAAGUCUUUGAGGCAUGGAUUUCACAAGAUGUUGGAAGGUUUGCUAUGAGAUUUUUGGUGCAUUGGGCAAUUCGCGAAUAUAAACAAAGCAACUCUGGAAUACAAAAACAAAUCUCAUUCAUUUCUGCAGUAAAAGAGAAUAAUAUAAAAUGGUAGACCAGCAUGGUCCUUCAGGAUGGUUCUUCCAGGUGACGGUCAAGGUGUACACAACACAUGCAUAGCAGUUAUAUGUCAUUGGUGAGAUGAAUCAUAGAGCCUGGAAGAAAAACAGAUGUCGAGUUCUCCAAGAUUCUCCACAAUUGUGUGGUGCACAGAAGAAGCUGAAACGUCAUUCAUAUGGCAAAUUUGUGCCUUGUUGCUCCUGUGGAACUAUAAUUGUUCCAAAGAGUCAAGUUUGUCUUGGUAAACCGCAACGGAGCAGAUUAGUGAUAUGGCACAAGGUACUGAAAAAACACAGGACUGUAUACAGUCAAAUAUUUAGGUUGAAGAAAUCUAAAACUGUGGGAGUCAUGUAAGGGGUGGCACUUUCUUUCUUUGUUCCUUAAUUUUAGUUUGGCCUGCUGGAGAUUUUGACAGAGCAGGCUAAACCAAAACAACUUGUUAACCUCAAAGCAUUUGUGCAAUGUCCGUAAAAAAGUACAAAAGUCGCUUGACAAUGUGAGAUCUCUCGCAAGAAAAACACGAAUGCCCACAACAUUAGUGUUUGGAACUGGUUCACCGAACAGUUUGGCAUGUUUCCCCUUAGGUAUGUUCAGUAAACACCACGAGAUCCUAUUGAGAAUAAUGAGCGUAGUGAUUCAACCUCAGAAUAAAUCUCAGUGCUCAGCCCCCCAGCCCAAACAACAGGCCCCCAUCAUGGCCUUCAGGGGCUGGGUCUCAAAAAACAGGCAACGGAGCACCUGGGACUGCACUCUAUAACCCCACAGCUUAUAACAUCUACAUGCACAAACACAUACACACACACAACCUGCUAACCAGGGUCAACACUAACAGACAUGCAGGACAGUUGUGUUUGAAGAGCAGGUCACUUUAUUUGUCAAAGUGGUUGUUUAUCAGUGUUUUCUAAUGAGUGUGGCUGGUUGGACUGCAGGAAGUAACCAUCAGAACCCAUCCAUCGCAAGUCAACUCACGUAAUUUAGCAGUUAGACUACAGUAAUUGGCCUUAAAACUGUUUUUUUUUUCUUUACAUGACAUCCUGUCUGGCCUUCAGAUAACAAAACAAACACCAUUCCUUUACAAAAUAGUUCUCAAUGAAUCUGUCUAGAAUUUGUCAAAAAUCAGUUUGCAUGAUCAUAGUUAUAUCUUACUCUAAACACUAUUCACUAUUCACCACAAAAAAAACAUCUUGGAAGAGGACGACCUCUUACUGUAUUUGCUGUACAUGGCCGUGCAGUUGCAAUGGUACAGAAGAAAAAUAGGAUCUUAGGAUCUGCCACAAUAGUGAAACAAAGAACUUAAUGUCAAUAGCAAAUGUACCAGAAUAGAUAUGUGAUGAAAAAGCAAGGAAAUCUUUACACUGUGUGCUCUUGCAUGUUCCGUUUUUAAGUUACAGUAGAAAACUCUUAAACCAUAAAUGAACCCUCUAUUUCUAAUAUAUAAUCUCUCUAAACUACAUCUGUCUGUGUGUCCAUUUGUGGCAAGAGGGUUCCGAAUAUAGUGGCUGACACUGACCCUGAUAGAGUCAAAUGAAAGUUGUUAGUGCCAGGUCAUUACACUGCUAAAGUGGGGUGUCACACUGAGGGUUAAAGGGGAGAUGACAUGGGUGGGCAUCUCUAUUUCACUCUCUACACCCAGAUCUAUCUAUCAAGCAAGAUACAGUAGCAUUUAUCUACAGAAAAUAUAAUUUUCACUAGCCAAAGACAUGGCCAAGUGUUUCUUGAGUCUCCACUCUUAUUGUUUCCUCUAAAAGCAAUCCCUUGAUUCUCUUCUGAGGUUUUCUAGUGAGCUGUGCUCAUUGAGCAGUUACAGUGUUAUUUAGGGUUUGACUUUUAAUAGAGCUGCCACUUUUCCAUGUUCCAUGUUGAUCUGAUUCAGUGUGUUUCAUAUAUUUCCCUAGUCCCUGACCCCACUAUGAGUACAAGGGAAAUGCAAUAUGGCAUGUACUUUCUUGCUAUUACUCAAGCCAUGAAAUUGUUUAGAAGUAUUCAGAGCUUAAAGCUCAAGAAUAUUUUACUGAGAGCAGUUAAGGAUCCUCGGGCGAGAAUGGUAGCGCUGGGCUGAUAUCCUUAGCCCCCAAGUCAGAAGGACAACAGGUGUUACUAGCAUCUUUAUGCGCUCGAGUUCUCAGUGGGCUGGCCCUCGUUUGAAGCUGUUAGAGAAUACAUGUGAAAGGGUUCGUUGGUUUACUGCUUGCACAUGUGUAUUGCCAGGUUUCUCCUGGAAUUCUAAAGAUGGUGGACAAUUGAUGUAACCUCCCAAGCAUUUAUUGUG